UCUUUGUCCCGACGGUUGAAACCGUCGGCUAUAUUUCUGGAGCAUUUUUUUCAUUUGCUUUUAAAUAUAGCCCGAGGUUUCAACGUCGGGAGACGUA
rnacentral:misc_RNA from 1 species